GCCAUAUUAUUCUUUGAAGUGUUGCUCCUUUAUAGUGUCUGAUGCUGUGAAUUACAAAACAGUACAUGGACAAACCAUGAAGUGAGAAGAAACCAUGGGGGCAACAUUCUAAAUGAGUUUCAACAUCCCUGGUCAUCAUCAAUGCAAUGUUCUCCUCUUUUAACUGACUGCCUGUAACUUAUCCAACAUCUAAUAACAUAUUGUUGGCAACUCUUAUACCAGAAAUGCUAGUGGCACAAUCAAAUCUAUUAUGAAGAUGCCAAUCUAAAAGUACACUGAUGUAAAUAAUCUGCACUGCUGGACCAAGCACAAUAACAAUUAUGGUUUCACAUCGCAUAACAGAAAUUAUAUCAAUGUAAAAUUGGCAAAUGAAGUAAAGAAAUUUAAGUCAGACCCUACAUACCUUAAAGUACGGGACUUCCUGCUGUGGCCUUCGGACGAAGUACUGCUGCAAAGAAUGAUACUUGCAUGACUGUGAAUUGCUGUUCUACCUGCCGUCCUUAUAUACGCGACGGCGUAUAUGCUGUAUGUUUCACAUUCUACCUUGACCUUUUGCA